UUUUGCGAUCAUCGACCAGCACUAAUGCACCGGAUCCCAUCAGAACUCCGAAGUUAAGCGUGCUUGGCGAGAGUAGUACUAGGAUGGGUGACCCCUGGGAAGUCCUCGUGUUGCAUCCC
rnacentral:rRNA from 1 species